UACGUAGGGUCCAAGCGUUGUCCGGAUUUAUUGGGCGUAAAGAGCUCGUAGGCGGCUCAGUAAGUCGGAUGUGAAAACUCGGGGCUCAACCCCGAGACGCCAUCCGAUACUGCUGUGGCUUGAGUCUGGUAGGGGAACACGGAAUUCCUGGUGUAGCGGUGAAAUGCGCAGAUAUCAGAGGAACACCGAUGGCGAAGGCAGUGUUCUGGGCCAGUACUGACGCUGAGGAGCGAAAGCGUGGGUAGCAAACAGG
rnacentral:rRNA from 1 species